GACGAACGCUGGCGGCGUGCCUAAUACAUGCAAGUCGAACGAGAAUUUUUUACACCGAGUGCUUGCACUCACCGUAAGAAAUUCGAGUGGCGGACGGGUGAGUAACACGUGGGUAACCUGCCCAAAAGAAGGGGAUAACAUUUGGAAACAAAUGCUAAUACUGUAUAACCAUGAUGACCGCAUUGUCAUGAUGUGAAAGGUGGUUUUUCUAUCGCUUAUGGUUGGACCCGCGGCGUAUUAACUAGUUGGUAGGGUAACGGCCUACCAAGGUGAUGAUACGUAGCCGAGUUGAGAGACUGAUCGGCCACAAUGGGACUGAGACACGGCCCAUACUCCUACGGGAGGCAGCAGUAGGGAAUCUUCCACAAUGGGCGCAAGCCUGAUGGAGCAACGCCGCGUGAAUGAAGAAGGUCUUCGGAUCGUAAAAUUCUGUUGUUAGAGAAGAAUAUGAGUAAUAGUAACUGAUUAUUCACUGACGGUAUCUAACCAGCAAGUCACGGCUAACUACGUGCCAGCAGCCGCAGUAACAC
rnacentral:rRNA from 1 species